GUUCUAGUGAAUAACGGGGAUAUUCGAUAAAAUUGGAACGACACAGCAAAUAUUAGCAUGACCUUUGUGCAAGGAUGACAUACUCAAAUUGAAAAAUUAUGUU